rnacentral:tRNA from 1 species
GGAGCCCUAGGGUAGCGGUCUAACAUGCCGGCCUGUCACGCCGGAGAUCGCGGGUUCAAUUCCCGCCGGCUCCGCCA